AACAAGGCGUACCUGCGGACCUGCGGAGGGAUCAUUACAGAGUUGCAAAACUCCCUAAACCAUUGUGAACGUUACCUAAACCGUUGCUUCGGCGGGCGGCCCGGGUCCUUCCCGGCGCCCCUCGGCCCUCGCGGGCGCCCGCCGGAGGUAAACCAAACUAUUGCAUUGUAUGGCCUCUCUGAGUCUUCUGUACUGAAUAAGUCAAAACUUUUAACAACGGAUCUCAGAUCGGAAGAGCAC
rnacentral:misc_RNA from 1 species